CUGGCUGCUGGCUGCUGGCUGCUGGCUGCUGGCUGCUGGCUGCUGGCUGCUGGCUGCUGGCUGCUGGCUGCUGGCUGCUGGCUGCUGGCUGCUGGCUGCUGGCUGUCCGUAGUUCAGGGCUUGCUCCAUUUCCUCUCCCUCCCGCUGCUGUCUCCAGGAUCAGGGGAAAGCAUGUUUGGGGGCGGGGGGUGGACAUGCAGAGUCUGGCCCGAGGGAAGUUCCAUGGAGCUAGCCUUGGGAACAUUAUCAGAUAGCUCUUGGCUUCCUCGAAGGUAAUAUGGCACUCAGGGCCGUACUCCCUCUCAGAGCAAGCUGUAGUUCCUGAGGGCAAGCUGAACAACAGCAAACAGCAGGCACUCUCCUGUGUGGACUGAAUGACCUGCCACAAUAAACACCACACCUUUAUCUGCUGUCUGACCUUACUUUCUAACCUUUAGCCAGUGGAUUCCCUAAUUUUUGGAUCUUUGAGCUCUGGAGGGACAAAGGAGUAGUGUGAGAGUGGGCUAAGUAGAUUUUCCCUAAACGUCCCAAUGAUGUUCCCAUUCCACAGAUGGGAAAGCCAAGGCCCAGAGGCAUGUAUUAUUUUGUCCACACAGGAAGGAGAGGGCUGAGAUUUGAAUUGGGUCUGCCUGACUUGAAGCUGGGAAGUCUUCCUCUGCAACCUUUGCCUUUGUUGUGUUAGACACUUACAGAUCAUAGCACUGCUUAUUGAUUUCCAAGACUAGUUAUUAAUCUAGUUCUGGAGGUUAAAUUUAGGAUGUUGUUUCUGCAGGCCAGGAGCUCUGCCACUGAGCUGUCCCCUAGCCCUGAAUUAACUGUUGUCUCUAGGGAAACUGGAGGCUGUCGACAGGUCUCCUCUUAGGGCGGUGGAAUGCCUAGCAUGUGCUGGAUGCUUGUGGGGUUGCGACUGAUAGUUUCUUCUAGAAGGAGACAGUAAGAUAAAUAGAGGAAUAGGGAGGGAGGGGUCCCACUGGUGAGUUAGAGGGUUCUGCCCCAAUCUCACUCCUUCCUGAGUUCUCCAUGUGCUCUGGGCCAGAUUUACUUGUCUGUGCCUGGGAAGCAGAACGACCAGCAAGUGUGCAAGCUUACGGAGCCUUUAAAGCUAAUCCCAGGACAGCCAGAGCUACACGGAAAAACUCUCAAAACAAGAAGUUAUUUUAGGGUUUGGGGAUUUAGCUCAGUGGUAGAGCACUUGCCUAGGAAGCGCAAGGCCCUGGGUUCAGUCCCCAGCUCCGAAAAAAAGAACCAAAAAAAAAAAAAAAAAAAAAAAGAGUUAUUUUUGAGCCAGGCAGUGGUGUCGCAUGCUUUUAAUCCCCACAUUCAGGAGGCAGAGACAGGCAGAUCUCUGAGUUCGAGGCCAGCCUGGUGUACAAAGAGAGUUCCAGGACAGUGACAGCUGCACAGAGAAACCUUGUCUUGAAAAAGAAGCCGAAGGAAGAAGAGGAAAGAAGAGGUAAGAGGAAGAAGAAAGAGGGAGAGGGAGGGAGAGAGAGACAGAGACAGAUAGAGAUAGAGACAGACAGACAGAAAGGAAAGGAAGGAAGGAAGGAAGGAAGGAAGAAAGAGAGAGAGAGAGAGAGAGAGAAAGAAAGAAAGAAAGAAAGAAAGAAAGAAAGAAAGAAAGAAAGAAAGAAAGAAAGGAAUGAAUGAAUGAAUUUCUUGUAGGCCCUAAGUAGGAUACUCUUAGUGUUCAAGAUUCUGGCUGCUGAGGUCAUGAACUCUUCAUUUUUGAGCUUCCUUCUACGUUCAUAUAAAGGAAUUUUCCAGGCAGUUUUUUUCCUUGUAAGCCCUUACAAUCUUGUCAAUUACAUAUUUAAAGUUUAAUCAUAUCCCUAUUUAUUAACAUGUAUCAUUAGGAUAAAUAUAAACUAGGGAAAAUGAGUGGUGAUUAUUAAUGCUCUCCAUUUAGACUUGGUUAGACUUGAGAGGUAGAGCAGGAGAAUGAGUUCACGGUCACCCUGACCUAUAUACUGAGCUUAAGACCAAGUGAGGCUUCCAUGCCCUGCCACAUGCCCACCCAAAAAAAAAGUUUCCCUAAGGUUGGCAGAUUUUGUCACGGGUAGCCCAGCUAAUUCUACAUUCCAGCCAGGCAUGUCAUGGAAUAGCAUUGGGAUGAUCUGUUACUUUUACCCAAGUAGCUUCAAAGAAAUAUGAUUUGUGUGUGUGUGUGUGUGUGUGUGUGUGUGUGUGUGUGUGUGUGUGUGUGUCCAGGAUGAGCCAUCAGGCUCACCCUAAUUAGUGUAGUGAGGCAUUUGGUAACUGCUUUAGUGGCUCAGAACAGGUCAGGAUGAUGGGGUUGCAAGACAGACAGAAGCCAAGGCUCUGAGUCACCUUCAGUUGAGCUACUCGGCCAGCCUGGCUGCACUGUUGCUGAAAGAGAAAUGAGCCUCUUUAGUCUACUAUAUAAUUAUUUUACUAGGUUUAGUAAACAUGAAAAUUUCAGAUGUCCAUACUUAAAGCUCCAAAUUUUCAUAAAUUGAAAAAAACUCUAGAAACCAAGACCUGAAUGCAGAUGUGUGCAGAACUGAGAACCAAUAGGUUGCUGUGUUCUGGAUCAAGUCAAGCAGACCCAAAAUAAAGUUUCAGCCCAUCUCCUUCCUCUGUAACGAUGGGCAAAGUGCUGCAUGUCUCCAGGCCUCAGCGUUCCCACUUGUGAAGUGGGAGCAUCACUGUGAGAACGCGGAUGCAGCUUGCAGCAUGCCUUCAUCUUCACAGACUUCUGCACUGACAGGAGAACAAGGAGAAUCUGACCUGCAGGACUGAGCUCUCAGGAGCGACAUCAUGGUGGGCCUCCAGGCCCAGCCAACCUCAGCUCAACACAGCCUGCUCCAGGAACUCGCAGCCAGCCCGUGGUUCCUGAGUUACAGCAUAUCACUCUUGCUUUAAGACAGUAUUCUGAGUGGUGUGUGAUGUUGCAAGAGACGUGAGUGACUCAAGCAGGCAUUGGUUGGGCUGCAUUUGCUCAGUAUGUUUGACCCAGUGUCACUUGUAGUAUGGAGACACUGAUCUGUGCAUGGAGUUGGUACUUGGGUAGCUUCUCGAUUGGGACUCAUAAUUGCUCCUAGAACCUUCUCGUAACAGGUCCUUUGGUGAACAGAUGUGUAAAUUUGUGCUCAUUCUAUAACAAGAAGAGAAUUUGUCAAACCACUGUAAUUUAUGCAACCAGCUUUAGUAGCUACUGCCAGACACUUCCAAAGCAAUGUGCCACGUUGCUCUCGAGCGGAUAUGCAGGAAGAGUCAGAGUUCCGGCUGUCCACCUUUGGCCACUCUCGGGGCUUUUGAACUUUACAACCCUCCAUUGUACAAAUAAAAGUGCUGAUGCUGAAGACUGCUCCACCAGAGUGAGCUCCAGGGGCCAAAAAUAGAACAAGGCUGGGCCAGCUGGCUUGGCCAUCUACUCUUCCCUACCAACUCCAGUGAAGAGGUCAAUUUCAUCACACAGCCCGGCUUGUAGACGGGGCCCUGUAUUUUUACACACUCACAUUUCCAUCUCCCAAGAGAAUAUCUCAGAGGUGGAUGGCAUGGAGAUCAGCAUCUCCAUUUCACAGCAGGACAGCAUGCCCGGGGUCCAAAGGCAUGUGGUCGUACCAGCAGGAGUAGGGUCUUGGACAUGCAUCGUGGUUUUUCCUGGCAAGGCCCUCUGCUUUUAAUGGUUUUAUGGUGGUUUCAAGUGAAGGCUGAAGAGACUGGGGACAGAUCUGGAACACAGCAACCUGCAGGUUCUAAGUCCUGCACAGAGACAAGUGAAAAGCCCGGCCUCGGGUAAUGGUGACUGAAACCACUUAGCACUGCAUGUCCAGGGCUGAGCCCCGACCCCCACCCCUCUUCAUCUGGAAACCUUCUAGCAAUUGGCUGGGUUUUGUGAUUAAAAUGCAUGUAGCUGUUUAAAAUGAGGCCACACAGAAUGUUGCCCGUGCUUCACCCUAAGUAAGAAACAGACAACGGAAUACCACACAUAGUGACACUCCACUGUGGAAAAAAUAAAUCCAUAAAUCUGUACACCAAUGAAGGCAUGGAGGAAAGACAGGUGGGGCCAGAGAGAUGGUUUAGUUAGGAGCACUUGCUGCUCAUUUAAAAGACCCAGGUUCAGUUCCCAGCACCCACUUCAGGUAGCUCACAGCUGGCUGGAACUCCAUCUAUAUGGAACCUGAUGCUCCCUUUUGCUCUCCAUGAGCAUCUGCACUCGUGCACAUAAGGCCAUUUACACACACACGCACACGCACACGCACACACACACACACACGCACACUUAAAAAAUAAAAUCUGCAGGGUGUGACCGGCGCCCAGCAGGUAGGUCUCUGUUGUUCGAGGCUGGUCUACGUAGUGGUUCUAGGAGUAUGUUGACAGACUCUCUCACAAAGCUAAAGUAAAAUCUUUAAAACGUGUUGACUGUGGUUUAUCUGGUGGGGAAUGUGAAGGUGAACACACUGCUGGCUUCUGCCUUCACUUGCUUUGCAGUUGGGAUAGAUCAGCUUUAUUUUGUAAACUUACUUUAGAUGGUACAGUCACAAGUGUGCAGGGAAUUGAGCCAUGAGAACUGUCCCUGUCCUCUCUGCCUACCAUCCACUUGGCUCCCUCUGGAGGUGACAACAUGGCCCGCGUUUCUGCAUCCUAGUUUAUGUACAGGUCAGCAAAUACAUAUUUUCAGUUUUGUUGCUUUGUUUUGUUUGGACAGGGUUUCUCUGUGAAGCCCUGGUCAUCCUGGAACUCACUCUGUAGAGCGAGCUGGCCUCAAAUUCAGAGAUCCACCUGCCUCUGCUUCCUGAAUGCUAGGAUUAAAGGCGUGUGCCACCUGGCUGACUUUUCUCUUUUCUUUUCCCUUUAUUCCUUCCUUCCUUUUUUUUUUUUUAAGACAUAGCUUUUACAGUGAAUAGAUUGACCUAAUGGGAUAGUAUGGAAGGACUAGAUCACAAGACCUUUGUUUGUUUUUAAGGUUAAUGCUCUGUUUGCAUGUAUGUUAAAUGUUUGCAUGUAUGUUAAAUGUACUGCACUCACGCAGUGCCCAUGAAGGCCGGAAAGGUGGCGUCAGAACCCCUGGAACUGGAGUUACCCAUAGUUGUCAGCCAGCGUGUGGGUUCUGGGAACUGGACAACGGUCUCCUGGAAGAACAGCAGUGCUCUUAACUGUUGAGCUAUCUCUCCAGCCUCUUCAGGGCCUGUUUGUUUUUUAAGUAAAGGCUUUCCAGCCUGCAUGAUUUUAUGAUACAGAGAAUGGCAACGUGAGAAAAAUGGCCACCAAAUGGUGCUUAGAUGCGAUGGAGGCAGUGGAUUGCGAAACACAUUUCCAUAUUUAAAUACAAAGAAAAGACACAGGCUACGCACCCCCGGUGUGUGGACAGCUCUGCACCUAGGAUUCGGGGGACCUUAUUUCCUUCUUCCAGGAGGCAGUGUAGCUUUGAAAGUCAAUGGGUGGCUUAAUCUACACAUUAAUGUCCUCCUCUACAGAAUGGAGAAGAUGGUGAUAGGGUUGUCCUUGGGGCCAGGUUAUGAAAUUCACCGCCCCUGGAGAGUGUGCUUGCCAUAGCUGGUAAUUGUCAACAAUUAUACUCACCUGAGUUUCGUCAUUUCUCAGUCCCGGAUGUGUAUUACAGUAAGAGUUAAGCUUCAUUGAUAGAGUGGAGAACAAAUGAGAGGGGGUGUGGCCACAGAGGGGUGACAUCUAGAAGGCCCUAGAGAGAGGUAGUGAGCAUGCACGCCCAGAGAUGUAGGAAACAUGAUGUCAUGACUUCAGGCCUGGGAAAGACUCCCCACUGUUUACUCUCGCUAUAAUGGCAUGCCCAUGACCAGUGGUUUAUAGUUUAAGGAUUUCCAGAUAAUGGUUCAAGCUGCCAGUGACUUUCUGAUGCUUCAGUGCAUAGUGGAGAGAAAAUGGGCAGCUGGGACUUGUCAGUGACACAGAGGAAGACUUACUCCUCUUAAUGAUCUAAUCCCUUCCUAAUGGUGACAUCACCUCUCAGUGCUGUCACAAGCAACUGGCAAAGACUGUCUUGAGAGGGGACAAGCCGUACCUAAAGCACAGCAUUCCACACCUGCCCCUCACAACAUAAAAUACAACCACCACAUCCCUAAAUCCUGUUCCAAAGUCCAUCCCAACAUCUUCAUUUAUUCCCGAGCCAACUGCAAAGUCCAAGGUCCCACUUAUCAGCCUGUGAAAUGAAAAUAAGUUCUCCACAUCCAAAACACAUCAAGACCAGCAUAAGAUAGAUACGCUCCUGUUCCCGAGGGGUGACUCAAGCCAGCCGCCCACUAGGUCCCGAGUAUCUAGCAGAACUGCCAGCAUGUUCAACAGGCAUUGCGUUCUUCUUGGCUUGGCUGGAUCCCAUGUUCUGCCCACACAGCACAACCACUGAGAGAGCACAACAUGUGCCCGAAUACUCAGAUCCACUGUCCUCUGGGAAGAGAGGGAAACUCAAGGCCUGUUUCAUCCUCAGCUCUGACAAUUAGUAUCCAUAUUAGCUGGACUAAACGGCUUGCCGUCUGGAUCAGCCUGACAUCAGCAAAGGCUUGAAGAUAGAACUGUGUAAGUUCCCAACUUUUGUUCAAUUGACACAGUCUAAGUAAAAUAGCAACAUUGGAAGUCUCCAACCCUUACCUUUAAUUCCCAUAUCCUCUGCUCUGAAAAAAAAAAAAGGUUUUUUUCAUUAAAAAUCAUGCCAAAACAAUAUACUGUUAUGUUGUCUAUUCUUCUGGUGUCAGUGUUUAUAAUAAACUGUAGAUUACUGUCUAAGUUUUUUGGGGGGUGC
rnacentral:lncRNA from 1 species